GGCUCACCAAGGCGACGAUCCGUAACUGGUCUGAGAGGAUGAUCAGUCACACUGGAACUGAGACACGGUCCAGACUCCUACGGGAGGCAGCAGUGGGGAAUAUUGGACAAUGGGCGAAAGCCUGAUCCAGCCAUGCCGCGUGUGUGAAGAAGGUCUUCGGAUUGUAAAGCACUUUAAGUUGGGAGGAAGGGCAUUAACCUAAUACGUUAGUGUUUUGACGUUACCGACAGAAUAAGCACCGGCUAACUCUGUGCCAGCAGCCGCGGUAAUACAGAGGGUGCAAGCGUUAAUCGGAAUUACUGGGCGUAAAGCGCGCGUAGGUGGUUCGUUAAGUUGGAUGUGAAAUCCCCGGGCUCAACCUGGGAACUGCAUUCAAAACUGUCGAGCUAGAGUAUGGUAGAGGGUGGUGGAAUUUCCUGUGUAGCGGUGAAAUGCGUAGAUAUAGGAAGGAACACCAGUGGCGAAGGCGACCACCUGGACUGAUACUGACACUGAGGUGCGAAAGCGUGGGGAGCAAACAGG
rnacentral:rRNA from 1 species